rnacentral:rRNA from 1 species
AUGGAUUAAGAGCUUGCUCUUAUGAAGUUAGCGGCGGACGGGUGAGUAACACGUGGGUAACCUGCCCAUAAGACUGGGAUAACUCCGGGAAACCGGGGCUAAUACCGGAUAACAUUUUGAACCGCAUGGUUCGAAAUUGAAAGGCGGCUUCGGCUGUCACUUAUGGAUGGACCCGCGUCGCAUUAGCUAGUUGGUGAGGUAACGGCUCACCAAGGCAACGAUGCGUAGCCGACCUGAGAGGGUGAUCGGCCACACUGGGACUGAGACACGGCCCAGACUCCUACGGGAGGCAGCAGUAGGGAAUCUUCCGCAAUGGACGAAAGUCUGACGGAGCAACGCCGCGUGAGUGAUGAAGGCUUUCGGGUCGUAAAACUCUGUUGUUAGGGAAGAACAAGUGCUAGUUGAAUAAGCUGGCACCUUGACGGUACCUAACCAGAAAGCCACGGCUAACUACGUGCCAGCAGCCGCGGUAAUACGUAGGUGGCAAGCGUUAUCCGGAAUUAUUGGGCGUAAAGCGCGCGCAGGUGGUUUCUUAAGUCUGAUGUGAAAGCCCACGGCUCAACCGUGGAGGGUCAUUGGAAACUGGGAGACUUGAGUGCAGAAGAGGAAAGUGGAAUUCCAUGUGUAGCGGUGAAAUGCGUAGAGAUAUGGAGGAAC